UGAUCCUGGCUCAGAAUCAACGCUGGCGGCGUGCCUAACACAUGCAAGUCGAACGCGAAAGUCCCGUAAGGGAUGAGUAGAGUGGCAAACGGGUGAGUAACACGUGGGUGACCUGCCUUCGAGCGGGGGAUAACGUUUCGAAAGGAACGCUAAUACCGCAUAACAUCCUGCCUUUGAAGAGGCGGAGAUCAAAGCCGGGGAUCGCAAGACCUGGCACUUGAAGAGGGGCCCGCGUCCGAUUAGCUAGUUGGUGGGGUAAUGGCUCACCAAGGCUUCGAUCGGUAUCCGGCCUGAGAGGGCGGACGGACACACUGGGACUGAGACACGGCCCAGACUCCUACGGGAGGCAGCAGUGGGGAAUUGUUCGCAAUGGGCGCAAGCCUGACGACGCAACGCCGCGUGGAGGAUGAAGACCUUCGGGUCGUAAACUCCUUUCGAUCGAGACGAAUGGCCUUCGGGUGAACAAUCCGGAGGAAUGACGGUACCGAGAGAAGAAGCCCCGGCUAACUCCGUGCCAGCAGCCGCGGUAAUACGGGGGGGGCAAGCGUUGUUCGGAAUUACUGGGCGUAAAGGGCUCGUAGGUGGCCAACUAAGUCAGACGUGAAAUCCCUCAGCUUAACUGGGGAACUGCGUCUGAUACUGGAUGGCUUGAGUUUGGGAGAGGGAUGCGGAAUUCCAGGUGUAGCGGUGAAAUGCGUAGAUAUCUGGAGGAACACCGGUGGCGAAGGCGGCAUCCUGGACCAACACUGACACUGAGGAGCGAAAGCCAGGGGAGCAAACGGGAUUAGAUACCCCGGUAGUCCUGGCCCUAAACG
rnacentral:rRNA from 1 species